UGAGGAAUAUUGGUCAAUGGACGGAAGUCUGAACCAGCCAAGUCGCGUGAAGGAUGACUGCCCUAUGGGUUGUAAACUUCUUUUGUAUUGGGAGAAUAAGCCUUACGUGUAGGGUGAUGACUGUACAAUACGAAUAAGCAUCGGCUAACUCCGUGCCAGCAGCCGCGGUAAUACGGAGGAUGCGAGCGUUAUCCGGAUUUACUGGGUGUAAAGGGAGCGUAGACGGCUAUGCAAGUCUGAUGUGAAAACCCGGGGCUCAACCCCGGGACUGCAUUGGAAACUGUGUAGCUAGAGUGUCGGAGAGGUAAGUGGAAUUCCUAGUGUAGCGGUGAAAUGCUUAGAUAUCACGAAGAACUCCGAUUGCGAAGGCGGCUUACUGGGGUACAACUGACACUGAGGCACGAAAGUGUGGGUAUCAAACA
rnacentral:rRNA from 1 species